CAUGAAUGGAACCAGUGCUGUUAUAAAAGAGGCCCCAGAGAGCUCCCGGGCCCCUUCCACCAAGUGAAGACGCAGAAGAGCCUGUGACCCAGAAGAGGGUCCUCACCGGACGUGCUGGCACCCUGAUCUCGGACUUGCAGCCUCCGGAACUGGUAGGUGCUCUCCUUGUCCCCAUUUUACAGAUGGGAAACUGAGGCCCAAAGAAGGUCAGGAGAUUACCUGGGAUGGCCUGUGGCAUGUGAAUUCAUCCAGGGACACAAGGAAAUCUCUUUUCAUGGAGAUGGCAACAGCACAGGAGUUCUUAAGAUCCAUUGUGUUACGGAGGAAGUGGCCACAAUCCAGAUGCAGUUGAAAGUAAAUCCUCAAGCUUUGCAGAUGGACACAGACGCUUCAAGAGGAGACCAGAGAACAAAGAUUUAAAGCAUCCUCAGAAGGGAGAGGGAUGACGAGAACCUUGGCAGAAGAGAUGGAGAGAAGAAACAAGAGUAAGUCUGGGAGACAGCCAGGAGGAAGAGACUUCAGAGAAAGGCCCUGAAGGCCAACACUUCAAAUAUUUAUUUUCUAUGCUGCUACAUGAAAAGCCGCAACUGACCAGUAUACAGAUCUGAAAGUGCCAUCCUUCUCUCCUGAGGCCUGAGGACUCCUUGACCUUGGAAGUCCUAUGCAUGUGACUGCUGGUGAGUGAUGGAGACUGAGUACGUA